rnacentral:ncRNA from 1 species
CAGGGUACCGGGGGCUCAGCAGCGCGGCGCCUCGUCACGGUCGCCCCUACGUUGCGCUGUGCCAGUGGCGAGACCGACCCCUCCGUUC